ACAAGCGGCGGAGCAUGCGGAUUAAUUCGAUGCAACGCGAAGAACCUUACCAAGGCUUGACAUACACCGGUAACGCCCAGAGAUGGGUGCCCCUUUGUGGUCGGUGGACAGGUGGUGCAUGGUUGUCGUCAGCUCGUGUCGUGAGAUGUUGGGUUAAGUCCCGCAACGAGCGCAACCCUCGUCCUAUGUUGCCAGCGGGUCAUGCCGGGGACUCAUGGGAGACUGCCGGGGUCAACUCGGAGGAAGGUGGGGAUGACGUCAAAUCAUCAUGCCCCUUAUGUCUUGGGCUUCACGCAUGCUACAAUGGCCGGUACAAAGGGCUGCGAUACCGCGAGGUGGAGCGAAUCCCAGAAAGCCGGUCUCAGUUCGGAUUGGGGUCUGCAACUCGACCCCAUGAAGUCGGAGUCGCUAGUAAUCGCAGAUCAGCAACGCUGCGGUGAAUACGUUCCCGGGCCUU
rnacentral:rRNA from 1 species